rnacentral:lncRNA from 1 species
CAGGAACUUGGAGAAAUGGGAUACGAAGUGAAUGCUGCAGUUACCACAGCAUCAUAUUUAUCAAAAGGUUUAAGACAUCAUGUUGGGCUGAAAUUCUAAGGAGACGCUCCUUGAAAUCCAUGGGAGAGGAAGAAGAAAGAAAGGUUGUUUCACUACGGCAUGGAGAGAGUCCUAACUGCAGUUGUGCAGCACUGGUGAUAAAAGGCAAAAAGAGCAUUCUGUCAGGCUCAUCAAAACUUCAGUCGGRUUCACUGUGUUGUCUGGACACCUGGGAUCCAGUUCAGGUAAGCACAUGCUCAAGUUCUCUCUUGUUCUGAGACCUCAUUCCAGAAUGAAA